UAAUAAUUUUAAUAAAUUUGAAUUAAAAUAGUGUAAGAAAAAAUGAUUUUAUUGAAAAAACCGUGGGGUGCUUUUCAGGAUAUUAUCAAAAUAACCCUUCUAUCAUAUCUAUAAAUAUUUUACAGAUAUGAGUAGAAAAUACUGAUACCAUGCACCCCACACUUUUUUACAAUAAAAUCAUUUUUUCUUACACUAUUUUUAAUUCAAAUUUAUUAAAAUUUAUUUUCUAUUUUUUAGUUGCAUUUUCUAUAAAAGCGUAUUUUGUUAGUUUUUUAAAACUAUUAUUUGUUUUUCAUUUUUUUUAAAUUUUUUUUUUAGUAUUGAAUUGUCGUCGGUCCUUAAUAAGUAUACAAAAUUUCCAGUUAAUCCGACGUUUUGGAGGGGGUCAAAAUCAUGUUCAAAGAUUCCGUUACAUGCAUACGUCUGAAGCUAAUAAAAGCGUAUUAAAAAUAUUUAGAUUUUUAGAAUUUAUUUCCAUAAAUAGACAUUAUAUAGGCUUUAACAAAAACCGACUUCGAAUAGAAAAAGAUUUUCCAAAACAAAUUAAUAUACACUAAAAACAAUAAUCAACGAAAUCGGUUGGCGUGAUAUUGAGUUAUUCAUUUAUUUGUCGCGCACGUACUUAAUGCAAAUUUAAGACUUACAUGGUUUUCUCAUGGAUACCAUUGUCAGAACUGGACAAAAUGAAAUAGAAAUGGAACCACACGGGAAGCGUCAGCUUUCUAUUAAAAAAAGAAUCGUCAAAAUCGAUUCACCCAGUCAAAAGUUAUGAGGUAACAAACAUAAAAAAACCGAUACAGUCGAAUUGAGAACCUCCUCGUUUUUUGAAGGCGGUUAAAAACACUUAAUUUUCGUACUCACGUGUCGGGUCCGCCGGUUGUAUAUGACAAUCUAUAGUACCAUAUAUUUAUAGAUCCUCUCAAUUCAAAGAACUUAGUAAUACAUUGUAUAAAACAAAAGGAAGUUGUUUGGAAUUUUGUUUAUUAGGCACACAAUGUUUGUAACAAACCAUUUAUUGUAUUACUUUAUGGCUGAGUUUAUUGUUUUGCUCGAUCCCCAUGAGGAGAACCAGGAAGCGAACGUUUACUAAUUCAAAAAACUCACUACACGGUGAGCUACAGUUUUUAUAAUUUAUUCGCAGAACGCGCCGCACCGAUCCGCCCCAUAUUUCGUUGCUGACUGUACAAAUUUCAUUCAUCUCGUGUCAUUUACGAAUGGGCUUGAGUUAUAUGAGCGUGAAAUGUUUUAAAUAGUGACGAAUUUUAUUGUAAAAACGGUGUUCUGUUUUACAUAAUAUGUAACCUUUGAAGUGUACUUACUUUAUGUACUAGUUAACUGUGUAUUUGGAAUCUAAGUCGGUGCGUGGGUGAUAGACAUGCUGAAUCUUUCAUAUUCAAAAUUAUUUGUUCUAUUCCGGCAUAGUCAAAAAAACGAAAGAAAAAACAAUAA